rnacentral:rRNA from 1 species
UACGUAGGUGGCGAGCGUUGUCCGGAUUUAUUGGGCGUAAAGCGCGCGCAGGUGGUGCGGUAAGUCCUGUGUGAAAUCUCCCGGCUCAACUGGGAGGGUGCGGAGGAGACUGCCGGACUGGAGGCACUCAGAGGCCGGUGGAAUUCCCGGUGUAGUGGUGAAAUGCGUAGAGAUCGGGAGGAACACCAAUGGCGAAGGCAGCUCGCUGGGACGUUACUGACGCUGAGACGCGAAAGCGUGGGGAGCAAACAGG